rnacentral:rRNA from 1 species
GAUGAACGCUGGCGGCGUGCUUAACACAUGCAAGUCGAACGGAGUUGGAUGAAACCUAGUGAUUCCAACUUAGUGGCGGACGGGUGAGUAACGCGUGGGUAACCUGCCUUGUACAGGGGGAUAACAGUUAGAAAUAGCUGCUAAUACCGCAUAAGCGCACGGUGCUGCAUGGCACAGUGUGAAAAACUCCGGUGGUACAAGAUGGACCCGCGUCUGAUUAGCUAGUUGGUGAGGUAACGGCCCACCAAGGCGACGAUCAGUAGCCGGCCUGAGAGGGUGAACGGCCACAUUGGGACUGAGACACGGCCCAAACUCCUACGGGAGGCAGCAGUGGGGAAUAUUGCACAAUGGGGGAAACCCUGAUGCAGCGACGCCGCGUGAGUGAAGAAGUAUUUCGGUAUGUAAAGCUCUAUCAGCAGGAAAGAAAAUGACGGUACCUGACUAAGAAGCACCGGCUAAAUACGUG